GGGGAUAUAGCUCAGUUGGUAGAGUACUUGCCUCACAAGGCCCUGGGUUCAAUCCCCAGCACCUCCC
rnacentral:tRNA from 1 species